CAAAGAAGGAAUUUAUCCAUAGUCCAUUGGGUAGUUGGGGGAAUUACAGGGAAGACAGGAAAACCUGGCUUUGCAUAGUAUGACCUGUGAACUAGUCUGAAGAAGGCAUUGGUGGCAACUGAGCGGUGUCCCCAUCAUCAUGGGGAAUUCUCUGUUGGGCCUCAUCUGUGCAUUGCUGACUCCUGGUUCAAAGUCCAGAGUGGGUCCAUCUCGCUGGCCGAGCCUUGGUCACAUGGCUGCAUCUUGGCCACAUGACUGCAAAGGAAGCUGGGAAAGUGGUUUUGUCCUUUUGGACCAAUUAUCUAACCUGGGCCUGGACUCCAUCUACCACUGUCCUGCCUGGUUCACUGCAGCUCACUUCAUCUUCCUGUGCCUUCUCUGAAAGGGCCCCUCCAAAAGUUUCCUGGGUAUGUCCCCUCAAGAAACUCUCAAACAACUGAGAAGGUGCCUCGACAUCUGAUUUGCCCCAAACCUCUAUACACUGGACAUCUUCUGAAUAAGGCUGUGUUGUAUGUUGGGACAAGCAAAGGGAUGGAAAUCAAGAAUUCUGGGUUUUAGUCCUGACUGUCACUACAUGGCUGUGUUACUUCUGACUCUGUGAAGCAGAACUCGGGCCUCUAGCGUCUGCUAGUCUAGAUCUAAAGGUGUUUCCUGAGGGACAGUUUGGCCUGGCAUGCAGGUACCUCUGCAGACCACAACAGUGCACCGAAAACACCCCCUCCCAGCACGCACACAAGUCUGGCUCCUCAGCCAAACAUCAAACACCAACACUGCUGCCCAUGCCAGAUGCCAAGUGAGAUAAUGUGUGUUAUACCCUUAGUGUGUUACAAAGAGAAAAGAUUAAUAAAUGUUAGCUAUCCUUAUCUUCAUUAUCUAAAUAAGGCAUGUGGAUCUCUUUUCAUUUAAACUCACAAAAUACCUGCUUAGAAGGCC
rnacentral:lncRNA from 10 species